rnacentral:tRNA from 1 species
GCAGGCGUUGGCCGAGGUGCUGCGUGGCGCGCCGCAAGUGCUGGUGCUGUGGGACGAGAUGUACGAAGAGAUCUGGUUCGGCCAGCCGCCCGCGC